UUCUGCCCCCAAGACUCAUAGGAAGUGGGGAAUCUUGUUGUGAAAACCAUGAGUGAGAAUGCUGGGAACACAAGCCCCUUCCAUGCUGUUUGUGUGUGUUCGAAUAGAUGGACGUUGAUGCUGAAAAGGAGACUUUGAUUCUCUGCCUAACUCUUCCCCCCUGAGACUGUCCGGGGCGUGGGUGGAUGGGGCACAGACAGCACCAGCAGGGAUGAACCCUGCAGAACGAAGAGGAGAGAACCGGAUCCCCUGUGAGGAGAGGACCGGAUCCCCUGUGAGGAGAGGACCGGAUCCCCUGUGAGGAAAGGACCGGAUCCCCUGUGAGGAGAGGACCGGAUCCCCUGUGAGGAAAGGACCGGAUCCCCUGUUAUCUGCGUUUGAAGGACUUUUGCGUCCUUCGAAUCAGAAGUGAAUCCAGGACGACCACAGAGACCCGCUGAGCUUUGGAGCAGCUGGAAGUGUUUCUGAUCAAACAGGAAG